AUAGGUCAGUAUGGGUCUGUAUGUGAGUGGAUAGAUAGGUCAGUAUGGGUCUGUAUGUGAGUGGAUAGAUAGUGGAUAAAUAGAUGUGAUGGACAAUAUAGGUUGUGUGUGCUGGUUUUACUUGAAUGGGUUGAACUUGAUGGACUCUGGUUUUUUUUCAACCUUUUGUAACUAUGUAACAAACAAUUUAUAAAGGGCUAUCAUUAGUACUAUUACUGUCAGGCUCUAUAGAUCUCUUUAUAAUAAGACAAUUGUCUUUCUUAAAUAGGGAACAGUCUGCCAGGAAAUUUCACAAAAAACAAAAUGGGACAAACAAACAAUAUGCACAAAAAAGGGCUCAAAGCACAACUGUUCUCUCAAUAUCUUUUCGCCUAGAAAAGUCCCUGAUGCCAUAUUAGGGUAAAUAAGAUUUACUGGCAGUAAAUCAAGUCUCACCAACACACUGGCAAGAUUCUCACAUAAUUGAAGCUGAAAUAUGCUAAAACUACCAAUGAAGUAUUAAUGACACAUAAAAUGCAGCUACAUGUAACUUAUUGCUUAUUGUUGUGACUUUUACCUGUUACACUUUCUAGACUGCAGUGCAAUAACUUGAUGUAUUGUGGCUAGUGGCCAACAGCACCUGCUUUACAGCUGUUACAGUUGAUGCUGCAGUAUAUGUAUAUGUGAAUAUGCAGAAUAAAAUCUAAUAAUAACAAUAGUUAAGGCUGUUUCCACAUGCACUGCAUUGGCCUGUGGGCAGACACACAGAGCGGAUUUCAACGUGAAAAUGCAUACUUUUGUUUUUCUGCGCCAGAUACGCUACUUGUGCCUGCACAAAGGCCAACACAGCGCCUGUAAGAGUAGAUACAGGAAUGAGAGGAUUCUACAUUUAUUUGCAGGCAGAGAAAGAGUCUCGUGUGGCAGUAACAAUCUGUGCAAGCAGUUCAGAACAUUGACCUGCAUUCAUUCUUGAUUUGGGAACUAUUGCAGCUGCUGUUCUACUUUCUAACCACAUGGCAAAAGUGCUAACAGAAUAUCUUUCAUCUAUAUACUACCCGGAAAUUCAAGCAUCUUAUAACGAUAAUGGACACACUGUAUUUUACAAUAAAAUAUGUACUCC